UUAAAAUUAAAAUCAAAAUCUUAAGUUUUUUUUACAAGUUUUUUUUAAAUAAAAGUUUUUUUUAGUUUUUUUUUAUUAAAAUCUACAAGAAAAAAAAAUAAAAACUAAAUUAUUUGUGUUUAUGACAUAAAAUUAAAAAGGUGUUCCACGUAGUAAAAAUUAAACAGAAAAUCCGGCAGAAUAAACUUAUAUAAAUUCAACAAAAAUUCAAUUUUGCAUUUUAUGUGCCCCAAGGUGCUCCAAGGUGAAGAAUCUCCAAAAAGAAUCGCCAAAUCAAAAGGCAAUUUAAUUGAUCAUUUAAACAAUCAGACUUUUUAAAGUCUCAACAAAAAUCUAUAAAAAUCUAUACCUAUAGUAAGUGUAUGUGAAGGUGCUUCUUUGGUCUCGACGCCAACGACCCAGCGACACCAUGACAUUCCAUACGCUUAAAGGUCAAGCACACUUUAACGCGCUACAAAAAAAAAACUUGCUCGCAAAACACCAGACAAAAAGCCUCGCAACAUAUCUUCAUCUUGGCAUCUUUCUUCACUUCAUCUUCAUUUUAAUUUAUUUUUUUUUUCUUCAACGUCAAAAGAAGAAAAUAUCAAUUUUCACCUUAACCUAAAUUACACCUAUCAAAAAUCCACUAAAUAUCCAUUCAAACAUACAAAAACAUCACCAAAAGAUCAUCAAUACAUCAUAAAACAUCAAUCAAAUCCAUACAAAAUCCACGCAUCCAGAAAACAUACAAACGAAUCAGCAAAAUCACACGCCCAGCAAAUUCACCUGCUGCAACACCAACAAACAGGAGGAAUGGACCAGCGAAUUAUAUAAAACAAGGUGUAAAAAUACACGUAAUUACAAAUCUAUUUUGCAUUGUAUUCGCCCUCAAAAUUCUUACAAAUUCCAAAACCUACAAACCAUUACAACAUACAACAACAA